AUGCACAAUGAGCCUCCACUCAAUGGACAAGUUGAAAAACCACAAAAACCCAUCGCUUCUUUAUCGUUUCAUUAUUCUCCCUUUCCCUUUCAUCUGAAACCCUUAUUGUCUAUCUCCUGGAGAAGGAUUUAUGCCUCAAAGGCACUGAAUAUUGACCCCCUAUCUCCUUUUGUUCGUUAUCGCUUCUUAGUUCCUGAUGUUCCUCUUUUUCUAAUCAUUCUCCAAUUCUCUCUUCUCUCUAUUUUUCGCUUUGACAACACUAAAAUUGAGACUACUGAUGGACGUUGCGGAAGAAGUAUAAGCAGGCGUUCAUAA